UGGCCCUAUUCAUAGCAAUCAAAUUUCCUGGUUAAAAGGUAUUCUCCCCAAGGUCAGGUAUCAAAACUGUGUCAGAGCUCAACAGUGUUGCCUGACUUCUCUUUUGAGAACUCCUGCUGCUUUGGAGGAUAAGCUCAACAAUAGUCGGCAAAGAGCAUUUAAAGGCAUUUUGGCUAGUAUCUGACUCUGCGGUGAAACUAAUUUCAGCUGUGGCUGUUUUGAUGGAGUUCUGCAAAGAUACUGCACAAGAGAUCUAGCGGUCCCAGCUUAGACGACAAAGAGUUUGCAAAUACAGUCAUAUUGUUGCAGGGAAACAUGGCAAGAAAGGAUAAGUCCACUAAAGGCUUUAGAUGCCUCCAAAACACAGAUAGGCCUAAGGACCUGAGGAUAACUAACUGAGAUGUAGACAUUGGUGCUGUAUGGAUGAAUUCCACUUUCAUUUUUUUGGCAUGGAGAUGAUGUUAUAACUGCAACUGAAAGAACCACCUAUUUACAGCGGCUAAAAACUGGACAACUGGUCCUGUGAAAACUGGGCAUGGACAACCUACCUCUGUGUAUGACAUGUGUAGUCCAAUGACAGUCAUCAACAGUGAAUCCUGAAUGCCUCUGUCAUUGCAUUUAACUUCAUUGACAUGUUGUGUCAUAUUAUUAAAUUGGUUUUGUCAGCUUUUUAUUGAAACUUCUCUACUGAAACUGCA